rnacentral:rRNA from 1 species
AACGAACGCUGGCGGUAGGCCUAACACAUGCAAGUCGAACGCGAAAGUCCUUCGGGAUGAGUAGAGUGGCGGACGGGUGAGUAACGCGUAGGAAUCUAUCCUGUAGUGGGGGAUAACGUUUCGAAAGGAACGCUAAUACCGCAUACGCCCCAAGGGGGAAAGCGGGGGAUCAUCGGACCUCGUGCUAUAGGAGGAGCCUGCGUCGGAUUAGCUAGUUGGUGAGGUAAAGGCUCACCAAGGCGACGAUCCGUAGCUGGUCUGAGAGGAUGAUCAGCCACACCGGAACUGAGACACGGUCCGGACUCCUACGGGAGGCAGCAGUGGGGAAUAUUGCGCAAUGGGCGAAAGCCUGACGCAGCCAUACCGCGUGUGUGAAGAAGGCCUUCGGGUUGUAAAGCACUUUCAGUGGGGAGGAAAAGCUGGUGGCUAAUAUCCAUCGGCCGUGACGCUACCCACAGAAGAAGCACCGGCUAAUUCCGUGCCAGCCGCCGCAGUAACAC